rnacentral:siRNA from 1 species
UAUGGUUUCGCUAUAGGCUUUC